rnacentral:rRNA from 1 species
GAUGAACGCUGGCGGCGUGCUUAACACAUGCAAGUCGAACGAAGCACUUUACCGGAUUUCUUCGGGAUGAAAGUUUUGUGACUGAGUGGCGGACGGGUGAGUAACGCGUGGGUAACCUGCCUCAUACAGGGGGAUAACAGUUAGAAAUGACUGCUAAUACCGCAUAAGACCACAGGAUAGCAUGAUCCGGUGGUAAAAACUCCGGUGGUAUGAGAUGGACCCGCGUCUGAUUAGGUAGUUGGUGGGAUAACGGCUCACCAAGCCGACGAUCAGUAGCCGACCUGAGAGGGUGACCGGCCACAUUGGGACUGAGACACGGCCCAAACUCCUACGGGAGGCAGCAGUGGGGAAUAUUGCACAAUGGGGGAAACCCUGAUGCAGCGACGCCGCGUGAGCGAUGAAGUAUUUCGGUAUGUAAAGCUCUAUCAGCAGGGAAGAAAAUGACGGUACCUGACUAAGAAGCACCGGCUAAAUACGUGCCAGCAGCCGCGGUAAUACGUAUGGUGCAAGCGUUAUCCGGAUUUACUGGGUGUAAAGGGAGCGUAGACGGAGAGGCAAGUCUGAUGUGAAAACCCGGGGCUCAACCCCGGGACUGCAUUGGAAACUGUUCUUCUAGAGUGUCGGAGAGGUAAGUGGAAUUCCUAGUGUAGCGGUGAAAUGCGUAGAUAUUAGGAGGAACACCAGUGGCGAAGGCGGCUUACUGGACGAUGACUGACGUUGAGGCUCGAAAGCGUGGGGAGCAAACAGGAUUAGAUACCCUGGUAGUCCACGCCGUAAACGAUGACUGCUAGGUGUCGGGAGGCAAAGCCUUUCGGUGCCGCAGCAAACGCAAUAAGCAGUCCACCAGGGGAGUACGUUCGCAAGAAUGAAACUCAAAGGAAUUGACGGGAACCCGCACAAGCGGUGGAGCAUGUGGUUUAAUUCGAAGCAACGCGAAGAACCUUACCUGCCCUUGACAUCCGGCUGACCGGCGAGUAAUGUCGCCUUUCCUUCGGGACAGCCGAGACAGGUGGUGCAUGGUUGUCGUCAGCUCGUGUCGUGAGAUGUUGGGUUAAGUCCCGCAACGAGCGCAACCCUUAUCUUUAGUAGCCAGCAUUUCGGAUGGGCACUCUAGAGAGACUGCCAGGGAUAACCUGGAGGAAGGUGGGGAUGACGUCAAAUCAUCAUGCCCCUUAUGGGCAGGGCUACACACGUGCUACAAUGGCGUAAACAAAGGGAGGCAGACCUGCGAGGGUGAGCAAAUCCCAAAAAUAACGUCUCAGUUCGGAUUGUAGUCUGCAACUCGACUACAUGAAGCUGGAAUCGCUAGUAAUCGCGAAUCAGAAUGUCGCGGUGAAUACGUUCCCGGGUCUUGCACA